rnacentral:lncRNA from 1 species
GGCCUGUUGGCAAGCAAAGGAGCUGACCUGGAACAGGUCACAUCAUCCCUGCAUGACCAGGAUCUCCAGGUCAUCUUGGACCACUACUAUUACCACCCUGUUCCUACAAAAUUGACCAGAGAACAAGCCCCCAAGCUGACAAAUGGGCUAACCCAGCAGUCGCCAACCUUUUUGGCACCAAGGGACUGGUUUUGUGGAAGGCAAUGUUUCCACAAACAGCGGGGGCCAGAUGGGGGAUGGUUCAGGAUAAAACUCUUUCACCUUAGAACAUUAGGCAUUCGAUUCUCACAAGGAGCACAGCCUAGAUCCCUCACAUGUGCAGUUCACGGUAGGGUUCCUGCUCCUAUGAGAAUCUAAAGCCACAGCUGAUCUGACAGGAGGUGGAGCUCAGAGAGUGAUGCUCGCUUGCCCACCGCUCACCUCCUGCUGGUUCCUAACAGGCUUCUAGCUGGUUCCAGCUCCUAACAGGCCAUGGACUGGCACUGGUCCGUGGCCCAGGGAUUGGAGACCCCUGGGCUAACCCCACUAGUUCACUUCUUUUCUCUUCUGUAUUCAGACAUGAUGAAGGGCCUUCAGCUAAGAGCAAACUUGUCCUCAGGGUCAGUCAGGGCCUGGGGCCAGGAGAUCCUUAAAUUGGUGACAGAAGCCUAAGGAGCUCUUCCUUAGAAUCAGGUGGCUCCCUUUGCUCAGCAAAGACUGGGUCUGAUUCCUAGACCAAGAGCUCCUUAUCCAAGGAAAAAUGCUUCUUAGAAGGAAGGGAGGUGCAAGGGUUGUUCCUUCUCCCUGGGGUUGUCUUGAAACCAACUCUGAACUUUAGAGGGGAUGACAGCAAGAGAGAAAGCUGUCUCUGGAUCCCAGCAUACUCAGUACUCCCAACAGAAAGUAGAGGUGUGAGAGGCCACGUAACUGACGGCUCAACUGGGCUUCAAGAGCUCUUGGUUCUAGUGUCAGUCCUGUCACCAAUUAGCUGAUUAACCUUGGGAAAGCCUCAUCCUCUCUCUGGGGGCAUCUUCCUUUUCUGUAAAAUUAAAGGAUAGUCUAAAAGGUAUCUGAGAUGCCUUCUAGAUUUGAUUGGCUAUUAGUCUAGGAUUCUAAGAGGAUGAGAGCAAUUGCCCACCCAACUGGCCAAGAGCACCCAGGGGGAUAAAUAAGAGGCUGAAGGGGUAGGGCACGGUGGCUUACACCUGUAAUCCCAGCACUCUGGGAGGUAAGGCGUGUGGAUCACCUGAGGUCAGGAGUUCGGGAGCAGCCUGGCCAACAUGGUGAAACCCCAUCUCUACUAAAAAUACAAAAUUAUCUGGUUGUGGUGGCACACGUCUGUAAUCCCAGCUACUUGGGAGGCUGAGGCAGGAGAAUCAUUUGAACCCAGGAGGCAGAGGUUGCAGUGAGCCAAGAUCACGCCAUUGCACUCCAGCAUGGGCAAAAAGAGCGAAACUCUGUCUCAAAAAAAAAAAAAAAAAAA